GCCGAGAUAGCUCAGUUGGUAGAGCAACUGAUUCGUAAUCAGUAGGUCGGAGGUGCGACUCCUCUUCUCGGCACCA
rnacentral:tRNA from 1 species